GGGCGAAUGGUCUAGGGGUAUGAUAUUCGCUUUGCACGUCUGAGUCAUUCAGAGUAAAUGUUUGCGAAGGGUCCGGGGUUCAAUUCCCCGUUCGUCCA